AUACGAUGAUUAUUCACGAUGAGUGUCCACACAGAUUGAUAGUUCACAAGCGCAAGCUUGUAGCUAACAUAGCUCUUUAACAAUUUGGAAAGCUGACAAAACAACAAUUUAUUGUUGUUUGUAAAGUUCUCAAUGUUUGUCUUUAAGACAAACACCAAAAUAACACAUUCAAGUGUUCUUGGAAUUUGAGUCCGGCAAAAUCGAGUCUGCAUCAUGUAUAAAAAUUGCAGACAACUUUGGUGACUUGUUCAUCAACUCGAAACUCCUUCGGGUUGUAU
rnacentral:misc_RNA from 1 species